AGUGGGUGCCCGGGGGGGGUUUUCCGCCCCUUUCGGGGGGACGGCGCCGGGCAGCGUGUGUGGCCGGACGGGGCAUCCGUCCCGCGGGGCUCCGAGCUCAGCCGCCCCGCGGUAGCCCCACUUUGUUCCCCCGCUCCGCGGGGCGCGGAGAAAGGCGCGGGGGGCGCGGAUCCAUCUCCCGCGGGCUCAGGAUGCCAGACCGCCCCGCGGGGGGAGGGCGGAGGGAAAACAUCAAAAAACGGAAAGAGUUUGGAGUUUCGUUAAGAAAGAGGCGAAACAAAACGCUGAGUUAAAAAAAAAAUAAAAUAAAAGCCAAGAACUUGGACCAAAACCCCAGAAGGAACCCCCCCGGCCGUAACUCCGGGAGAUCUUGCUGUCCUGCUCCGCUGCCCGGCGCGGUCCCGUCUCCCCGCAAGAAUUUCCUAACAGAAAAAUUCCCUUUCGGCCUGUGCUGCUCUCCCGGGGCUGCUGGACCCGCUGCUCCUCUGCCCCACAGCUGAUGCAUCGCUCUGAAAUGGGACGACACCUCCCCGUGCUCAGCGAUGGGAGCCACGCCGAGCAGAAGCAAUUAGAUAAACCCGUGCAAAGGUAAGAAGUGAGAUGGACGUGAACCUAAUGGGCGAGACACAGGUACAUCUGCAGUCAGGGCCAGCAUGGCCACCGGGGCCACGCAGCUGCCCAGGGCUGCACAAUGUUCUGUAACACUUUCUGGUGCUGGUGACUGUGCCUUGCGAGGGGCCUGCAUUUCAUGUUUUGCCUAAAGCAACAAAAUCGUGUAGCUGGUGCCGGUCGCCACACUCAGGGGAGCUGCAGGAUCUGCUCGCUGUGUCUCUAAGCAAAACCACUACGACAUUUUAGGAAUACAGCUCCUUAAACCACCUGUUCAGCCUGUUAAUCACAGGUAAUCUUGAUUCUUCGCAGGGAUUACUCAAAGACAAUAUGAAACAACCAAAAGCAAAACUGUUACUGGUAAUUUGCAUCCAUUUUUUCUUUGUUAUAGCACACAAUUAUUUUUGUGAUAAUCAUAACCAGUUACACAAUACAGAAAAGUUCUCAUGGGAUUGACUCUCCUUUCAGACAUGAACUGUAGAAUAUGCUUUGCAUUUCCUAUUAUUUUGUUUCCUUAUUGUCUUUCUCAUAAAAUCAAUCAAAAUGAUAACGGGAAUGUCUAGAAACAGCCAGAAUUUAAUCUGGAAGAAUUAUACAUGAGUAUAUCAGCACUGGAAGUGUAUCUGCUUAAAGGAGCUAUGUAUUAGCACAGAGAAUGCGAUGUUCUGUGCUUGAACCGCUGGCAUGUAUCUACAAGAUUACCCUAAUUUCAGUGUAGAAAGACAGCUUUUUGGAAUACUGCUUGGAAACAGACAUGUUAUAAAACUAAGUAUAAAUAUAGGCUACAAAAUUUGAAAUCAAUUGAAAAUACUUUCAUUUUAUGGUUUUAUGAUUGCAGAUGUUUAUAUUGUGUUCAUUAAAUAUUAGCCAUAAACCCUAAUCUACCCCCAAAUUUUGCUAGUUCCAGGGCUUUGGGGAAAUCCAGGUGUUAGGCCAACAUUUGUAGCUCGGACACAUGACCAAAUCUGUCUGUCUGUCUAUCUAUCUAUCUAUCCAUCUAUCUAUCCAUCUGUCCAUCCAUCCAUCCAUCCAUCCAUGCAUCUAUAGGGCAGCACAAACCAGUCCAGUGUUUCCAAAUACAACCCUUUCAUACAUCCCUUUCCAACUGGUGUAUGAAGAGCCCUUUUUACAUGGGAUAUGCACUCUUUUCUAGGGUGGCAGAGAGAUUGCUUCCCUUCUUUGAAUCAUUUUCUAUUGAGCUGCAGGGACCACACUGAGGAGUCAAGGCAUUGGCUCAACAAACAGGAGGUGAUACAAGUGAAAUACUGCUUUCUAUAGCAUAUAAGGUUCUUUCUACACUAGACACCCCUUCGACUGCCAAUCCUGGUGCCUUUUCAGGCAGGUAGGUCCUCAGCACUAGGCCUCAGUGCUCCUGUUUGCCUUUGGAUCCUACAAUUUUGGGAUGUCCAGGACAUUUGUGUGAAAAACUUGUCACCAUCUUAGAAGAAUGAAAAAUAAAUUUUGUAAAGUUUCCCCUAAAGCAUAUUUUUCCAAACCACAUGGGUGUUACUGAAUAGCGUAUCCCAAUAAGAACAGUCGCACUUCUCAAUACAUGGCAGGCAAAUUUAUGAAGAGGCUUCACUGCAACGUACUCUAGGUUCCUCCACAAUGAAAGGCUGGAUCAGAUGAUCUUUUGAGGUCCCUUCUAACCUGGGUUAUUUUAUGAUUCUAUGACAAACCAACACAGUUUUACAUUGGACUAUAUAAUUUGCAUAUUUACUGCUUUAUUGUAUCAUUCAAAAUUAAAUAAUCAAUAUAAUUUGGACUGUAAUGUUGAAAGAAUGAAACUGCUUGACUGACACAUGAUGGUGAACCAACUCUACUAGAAGUUCUGGCUCUUUUAUUUCUCUUUCACUCAGAAAAAGGCAACAAAGUCUGGACUUGUUCUCAACAAAAUCACAAUACUGCAGGCUAAAACUUCUCAAUCUAAAAACUUUCCUUCUCAAUUUAAAUUCAUUUUAAAUUGUUAUGCUUUACAAACUUCCAAAUGGGAUUCUAAUUGUUGACAGACAUUUUCCAUUACAUGUGUCUAUCACUUUGAUUUAAUAUGCAUUUUCAAUGAAAUUUAAAAAAGGCCUCUAAGGUGGCAAUUUAACAGCAAGACAUGCUGUGAAUUUUAGAUAUAAAAAAUAUCUCGUUUUCAAGGGAGUUUUUUGUACACGUGAAAAUGGCCCUGUAGGGAAAAAAAAAUCAGAGAAUGUCUGUAUGGCAGAAUUAUCAGAAACUAAAUAUCUCCAAGAAUACUACUUACUGUUUUAGUCAAUCACAGCCAUCAGAGGCAAACCAGGUUUUACAUUCAUGCAGCAUUUCAGUAGUGCACUUCAAAAGUAUUAACCACGAAAGAAAGAAAAUGUAUUUGGAAAUCCUAUGUCUGGUUUAUCACAUCUCGUGACCUGAUUUAAUUUUCUUCUCCAGAAAACCCACAUUGAAAUGUCUGUAAGUAAUAGGGACUUCGUGUCAACGUUGAUAAGAGACAUUGGAAAGGAAUUCCAAAUGUAUUCUGAAAGAUAAGAGCAAAGUGAGCUUUUCUGUGUCCCUCAAAGAGUGGAAACCAGACCUAGGAGAGCACAAACUACAGAAGGGACCUGUUCUGUAUCAGCUCUGCUUUUCAAAUCAUCACAUCUACAGUCAAUGUGUAAACUAUAGACAUUGACAGUACAGUGGGAGCAACUCUGCAUCUUUAACUUAGAAUUUGUUAAACAAAAUAUUAGCUACUUUUGAAUAUUUGCAUUUUUUUCAUAACUUUAAUACAAGCAUCUUGGCUUCGACUUAUUUUAUAUAAAUAGCUUUAGAUCAUCUUGUUCUAGUGGUCCUGCAGGGUGUCCUAAAACCUACACUUGAUGGCAAGAAUAAACAUUCAUUAAACUUCAAAGGCUGCCAAAAAGUCUAGCUAUUUUGAUUUAGAGGAAUCAUUUAAAUUAAUCCCUAUGUUUGUGUAGAAAAUAUGUAAUGCAAUCCAUUUCUCUGUCUCCAGCUUCAAGUCACUCACCAGUGGAAAAACAAUGCUUUACUAAUGUCUUCUGUCUUGAAAAACUGGGGGAAAAAAUGAAGACUUCAUAUAUUUUUAAAGAAUUCUGGUUCAAUGACAUUGAGAAACAACUAUUACAACACACAACUGUGUACUUCUAUCUCUGCAUAACUACUGUGACAACUAACGCACACAAUAGAGUUCUUCAGUGGGAGUGGUAAAAACCAGAUUUUAUAUAUAUGUGUGUGUAUAUAUACAUAUAUAUUUUUAUAUAUAUAUAUAUUUAACAAAGGAGCCAAUUACUUUUUUUUUGUAAAGAGCUUUCUGCCUUAGCAUCCCAACUCAGCUGAGUACUGUUGUCCUACACAAAACUCACAGACACCUGUGUAAAACUUCCUCCCUUUUUACAAAGCCACUCUUAAAACUGGGGAGAAACUUUCAAUAGCAUUAAAAGCUUGGAUUUUCAUUCAAUUUUUAUUUAAAAUUAAGCCACUCUUCAUCUGAAGGAAUCAUGUAGAACACACUCUGUCACAGGCACCAAGGGAAAAAUAAAAGGGGUGAGAACCUCCGCUAUUGUAAAUCCCCAUAAUGCCACUGAAACCAACGGGACAACGUGUCCAUUUGGACCAGCUGAGGUUGUGGCCUCAUAUUUGUGCUGAAAUGUUGAGGCUGUAUCUGUAUCCCCAGGCUGUAUAAAUAUUUGCUGAAAGCUGACUUAGGGUGCAGGGGUGGGUUGCUCAGCAGCAGAUAGUGAAGACACGUCUUUUCACCUUUCUGAAGGAGAACUUCCAUUUUUGGGGGGUGGGAGAUAUGAUCCUUCUUACAUUGUGCAGGGACUACACUGGGUGCAGUGAAACAGUAAUUUUCAACUGGACUUUUGAACUUGCCCCCGUCUGACUGUGCUACCCUGAUUCAUGCGAUGGACUGUACAUGAAUGACCAGGAAUGUUUACAACAUGCAUUAGUUUGACUCCAGCUCUCCAGCCAGAAAGUAAUCAAAGUGAAGAGCCAAGCUAUUUCUGAAAUUCCAGCUUCCCCAGCUAGAAACGACAUGCUCUGCCUCGCUAAUCAGCGUAUUAACGUAAAAUGUGCAUGUUCUGUACUGGAGGACAAUUAAUAACAGCAGCGAUUCUGAGCAGUCUACACAUAUUAACUAUUCCACCUCCAUACUGCUCCUGUGUUGUGGGUAAGUCUGAUGGUACAGAGACAGAAAACAGUCAAAAUGCCUAGCAGUAGCUGAUUCAUCUACAAGUUGUAGUGUUGUGGGUUUGUUUUCUUUAAAUUUCUUUGCUAAAUGAAAUUCCAAGUUAGCAUUUUAUUUCACUUCUUUCAAAGCCAAUUCAUGUAUUCAUAGAUAUGUACUCAGGAGUCUUCUUGUGUAAAUAUUUUUAGUAGGGUUAUUGAUAACUGGUGUCUCCGAAGUCUUGGAAACUCUGGUUAAUUUUCUUAUCAACUAUCCUAAUUUAAGCAUUCAGCAACAUCAGAAUUGUUUUCAGAAUAAUCUCACCCUGCAAAAUCCAUCAGCCUCUGUUAGAUUUAGCAAAAAUUAUUAUGAAAGAAAACAAAGUUAUUUAAGCAUUUUCUUUGGGAUAUUCUGAACCUCAAAGUGGAUCACUGAAAUUUCUCUCAGAAAACCAACCUCCUAAUCUGAAAAGCAGCACGUCAUGUAAAGCUGGAGAUGUUUCAGAGCCAAAUGGUUUGCUCCUGUAAAUGGUUAGAGCUCACAGAGGGAGGAUAUGAAAUAAGGCUCUGUUGAUUUUCCAGCAGAGCAUCUGAACCCCUUCCCCAGCCCGAGUCUGUUAAAGAGGAAUUAAAAGAAAAAUAAACCCUGAUUAGAGCGGGAGCUCUUCAUUUGAUGCAAAUUGGCAGAACUCUGGUGCGUAUCUCACUGAAGCAGAGUUAUAAUGGGACUCACCACCAAGAAGACCUGGGACAGGGUAUUUUAGUGGUGAUUUCAUGUGGGUGGGUGAGAACCUGAUCCUUCAUCCUUAUUCAGGCUGAAAACAAAGAAUGCACAACAGAACUAGAGAUCAGUCAAGAAAUGAUUUUUGCGGGGAGGGAGGCUAAAGAGGCUCAGUGCUUCCAAAAUCAGCAAGCGCCAGCGUGGUGUGUAGCUCAGCUCAAGUGACGAGUGACCACGAUGCUGUCCAACGCCUCCCAUCUCCACCACAGCUGCGUCCAGCCCCUCUUGGCUCCUGUUUCCAGACCAAGCUUGCAAAUCCAGAGGAGUGGUAAAAAUGAAUAACAUCUGAAGAGAACAGCUUGGCUGGAUAUCUUGAACAUUAGCUAAAAAUCAGAGGUUAACAAAUAGUUAAAUUUAGCUGUAGCUUCUCUUAAGUAGUUUAAGCAUAAGUCAAUAUUUUUGUCUUUUGUUGUCUCAGGAUUUCUACGGGAGCACAGAGGAUUUCAUCAAUGAUCUUUCCACACUUGAUAGCAUUAUGCCUUUGUACUAUUAUCCAUCCGUACCCUUAUCUAAUGUGUUAUCAGCUGUAUGAAAAUAACUAUCAGUCCCUUCACCCCAGAGAGAGCAUCAAUAGGGAGAAUGACAGCGGCUAGUUUGCACACUUGAAAUGGUUUAUUUGUUGCAAUCCUGCGCACAAGAUGUUUAUCAGUAAGCACCAGACAGCCAUGCAGAAGAAGGAGCCUUAAUUCUGUCUGAGACAGCCUCUUAUUGCUAUUGAUAGUUAGCAUCAGUGUCCAGCCUGAGAAAUGGAAGUGCUGCAGGCAACUUCAGUCAAGACACCCUAUUGAUCUACUGCUUCCUCUGCCUCCCCGGAGCUAGAGAAGAAAAAUAAAAGGAGGAGGAAAAGCUUGCAGGAUGAGGGGCAAGGCAGCAGUCUAUGACUUGCCAUCAUUCAAAAGGGGUGUGGAUGUGCAUGGAUAUUCCUGAUAUUCGGUACCUCAGACAGCUGUAAAUCACACGCACAGCCGUGAUAAAUAUAAAUGUCAAUGUCUUGGAAAUGUCCUUUAUAUAAGAGGUGUCAGUAGAACUACAUUUUUAGCAUGAAACAUUUUUGCUGCUUUUUAUUUUUCAUUGACUUAUUGUGCUUCUGUUAUAUCCUGUCUAACACAAUCAAUCUAAAGCAUAAUAUCUGAGAGUCCUAUUCAUAAAUAAUACAUAUUUGGGUCAUUUUCAUUUGUAUUCUACAAUGAAGAUUUACAAGCCAGAAACAAAACAAGAAACAAUGUGUGGAAUGCUCUUAUUCAGUGGAUAAGAAUAUAUUACUGUGAUCAAUUAAUCUGCUUUUCUCUGCAUUAGGUGGACAUCUUUAUGGUACAUCCAUAAGGGUUUAUAACUUAGGAGAGAACGAAUCAGCUCUAAGGCUCUAACAUAAAAUGCCUGUAGUCAGAAAAGAGAAACUUUUCCAAAGUUUUCUUUUUCCAAUGGGAAAUGGGUAAAUUUUGGCAAACUCAGCCACAGCGAUACCCCCUCUAUCAACAUAAUAUUGUCACUCUGCCCUAUAUUCUACCUCUCAUAUUAAAUGAAACAAAUAAUUGGCUACAUUAUACCAUAGCUAAAAAACAAAGUAAUAAUUCUGGGGAUUUCUAUAGUGCUAUUCAUCCAAAGAUUGUCACAUUCUACUACGAACUGUCCAAAUUCAUUCCACAGAAGGACAAACUGACACACAUAAUGGUUCCAGAUGAAUUUUUUUCAGCCAAAAGUUAGUACACAAAAUUAAGGUAAAAAAAAAAUAAAACUGUGUGCAUACAAAUUGCAGAAGCAAGUUAUAAUGAGAGACUUAAAUUGGUAUUAAUACACCAAUAUCUCAAUAAGAAACUACAGUCAGCUGUACAGUCACCAGUAGAGCUGCUAUUCUGAUGAUGGGCUCUGUCAGCAGGGCUGCAGUAAUAGACCAGAUGUUUAUACAUUUUGCCUGCAUAGAAGGAGCAAAAGUGAGUGCUUGGUGAGUAAAAACCAGUCAGCGUUGCUUUAGGAAGGAAAGUCAGAAUAUGCAAGAACUUAGCAGGAGAUAUAAGCUGGUGAGCAAAGUCAGGGUGACUGCAGCGGCUGAGGGGAGCAGGUUCUGCCGCACUGAGUGCUGUGCACUGUGGUCCUCCAAGUGGUUCUUGUUUUAGUUUUUCACCUCUGGCAAUUUGCUACAAGUGCAUCUCAGAUAAAAAGUGAAAUGAGUUUUGCAACUAUGGCAAAAAACACAAUUUUACAUUUCAUAGGCCUUUUCAAUAGAAAAUAAGUAAGGGGGGGGGGGAGAAAGGCUACAUUUCCAUUCCCGAUUUUAUAGUUUGAUGUUGCAGAUGUUUCUGGGUCAAAGGUGAAAGUGUCUUUAGGUGUCAAAAGAUGCAAUAGAAGUCCAAGAAGGCGCAAUCCCCAGCCCCAUCGCAGGAGCUCGCUGACAGCAACGUGCUCCAGGUGUCUCGCACCCCACAGACCUGGUAGUCAUUUCAGUAUUUUCCAUGCUCAUGUAAAUGACUUGAUGUAUGUUCAUUCAACGUGGGAAAAUCCCCCAGACUUGUGUGCCAUCUUCCUGUAAGUAAAUAGCCUGCUCUGCUGACAACGUAGUGCGAAAUCAGAAAACAGAAUGAAUAUAAGAACGCGUUUGUUUUGUUCUGAUUUGGUUUUAUAAAUCUGAGGCUUAAUAUCAUAUCAAAAACCCAACUAGGUUCAAAGUUUCACUCUGUUUGGAUAGUGUUGUCCUUUUCAGAUGUAUGAACAUUACCUGAGUUCCACAGAGCUCUUAAAUCUGCACCAUGUAGCUGCAACGUAGCGAAACCCCGAGCGCACCUGGGAUUCUGCAGGACACGGUGAGGGUGCAGGGUCCACAUCUGGGGCAGCUGGAUGGCUGUGCCGGUGCCCUGGACCAGGAGCCCUUAGGAAGUAGUAUCUGACACUAUUUCACCACUUCUGGCUGGCCUCAAGGGAGAAACUUAAGCUGAAGCAACAACUAAAAGGCUCGUUUAGAAAAGGCGUCACUGUAUUUUAUUUAAAACGCAAUACCGCAUUUGCUUUUCUGUGAGAACUGAAGCCAAGUUUAAUUUGAUUAAUAUGGUAGAUGCCGCUCAAAGUGUCCAUCUUUAUUAUUUUUGGUCUGUUUUAGACAAGACUGUCGGACAAAGGCAGUUAUGUCUGAGGUCCUGGAAGCAGCUAUGAUGGCAGAAGGCAGGCUGUGGUCAUGAUGAUUUUCAGCAUCAGUUGACAGACAAACACUUAUCAGAAGAGGAAUUUGACAUCUUUCUUGUCCUUACACUUGUGAAACUUGCGCUUAUACUUUUCUACAGAGAACUGAUAAUGAGGCCUGGGAAAUUUAUACCUGAAUAUGAGUCAGAUGUUGUCAAAAGAUGUCAAAGACUGUUUCAAAAGUGUAUUUUCAUUAUAUCCCAUCGGGGAGCGAGAUCUAGUCUUGGGUAAAAGACGAGAUAACACAGUGGGUAGAGGAGAAAAACAUCAGAAGAAAAUGAAUUGACAAAGCUAAAAAAUCCAGACAUAUGCAAUCUAAAAUCUCAAAUGGAUUCAAGGUAAGCUGAAAGGACACCACAGCGUCAAACGUGGUUAAACCACCCAGCGCAACCUGCAGAGACGACAGAACAAAAUCACCAGAUGCUCAGCAAGAAACUGGAAGUGAAGAAAAUGAUAUUUUUGCCAGUACGUUUCAGCUGGGUCAUUUCCUGAACUGGACCAGAGAACCUGCGCUAUUGGCACCUUUUCCAGAACGUAUUUCUUUCCACUGCAUCAUAUGAAAC